rnacentral:rRNA from 1 species
UACGUAGGUGACAAGCGUUGUCCGGAUUUACUGGGCGUAAAGAGCGCGCAGGCGGUCGUUCAAGUCGAGUGUGAAAGCCCCCGGCUCAACUGGGGAGGGUCAUUCGAUACUGAUCGACUCGAAGGCAGGAGAGGGAAGUGGAAUUCCCGGUGUAGUGGUGAAAUGCGUAGAGAUGUGGAGGAACACCGAUGGCGAAGGCAGCCCCCUGGGCUAACACUGACGCUCAUGCACGAAAGCGUGGGGAGCAAACAGG